GCCUCCCCGAGCUGAGCCGCGCGUCCCGAGCCCAGCCUCUCCGGGGAGGAGGGACCCGGCGGCGCGGCGUGGGUCGGGAGCGGGCGCCUGGGACUACUUCUCGUUUGAAAGUUUUCAGAGGCCAAAAGUUUGAGCCGGGGCUGCGGAAGGAUCCGGCUCUGGCCGUUGCCGCGCUCGGCGACAACUGGCGACGGAAAUUUGCAUGUGAAUAAGCGGAGGAGCCCGGGGCGGAGUGGGGAGGGCAAGGCCGCGGACAGCCGUGUGCACCGUGCGCUGGGCCGGGCGGGGAGCAGCUGAGGCCACGUUGGGGGACCCCGGGCGCGGGGCAGGGCUCUGGGAGAAGUGGCCUAGCCGUGUGUGCGCCCCUAGCCCAGCGGCUUCACUCCCUCCCGAGGGCCCCGUGGCCGCGGCUUUAGGCGUCCAGAGGAUCGAUCGCCGCCAGACAUCCCUGGCCGUGAUUGCCCGAGCACUUGACCGCGAGGGAUGAGGGCGCCGCGGCCUCUGGACAGGGGGUGCUCAGGGCGCCCCGAGGGAGCAGCCGGGACCAGUGCCUCGCGGACGGAUUGUGCCCCGCUCCCCCAAGGGGGACCCGCGUCGACACGCUCCUCGGUCACCGUCCUCCUCCUGCCCGGGCGCCGCCUGCCUAAGGUGGCCCCAGAAAGCACAAACGGGUCGGGCGGAUCUGCCGCUGGCGCCGGCGCAGCCCCUCCCACGUGCUCCUUCCGGCUGAUUUAUUUCUCCACCACGAUGCCAGGCACGGGCACCCUGUGCCAAGCCUGGUUAAGCGCCAGGAGUCCAAAAUGCCUGCCAUAGUCCCUGCGCAAAGUUCACGGCCUCGUGCCAGGGACAGACAGCGCCCCCUCCCCACCCCAACACAGGGUGGUGAGUGCGAUGGCAGAAGGCGCGUGUCCCGGCGCCCCUCCUGGAGUAGGAGGGCUAAGCCUGCCCUGCGGGGAGACCGAAAGGCUGGGAGGCACCUAGGACUGUGGGGGCCUGGGGGGAGGGCUGCAGAAACCCCAGAGCAUGGUGGCAGAGGCAGGCACAGAAAGCAGGACAAAUCUCACACCUGACCCCAGCAAGCCUUUCCUGGCACACCUCGUGCCAAAUGCUGAGCACUCUGGAAACAGCCAGUGCAGGCGGCCUGUCCCGCCCCUGUAGCUGCUGCUGGGAGUCUCCCUCGCCUGCGUCCUCCCAGAAUCUGGCCUCACUUCUGCAGGCCUGGGGUAACAUCUUGGGGUCAGCGCCCCAGGAGAGGAGGCGCCUGGAGGCAGCAGAGAUGUUUAUGUAACAGCAGCCAGGCAGCCUGGAGGAGCAGAUUUUCCAUAGAAGGAAGCGCGGGGCUGUGCAGCUCCCAGGCUGAGGACUCUGCCCACCACGACGUCCUCUGCUCCCGAGAGGAGAGUGGCCCAUUCGAUGUCCACCCGUCAGGCCACCCAGCAGCCAGGCACGCUCAUAAGCCCGCGUUACGGAUGGUGCGGCUGGGUGCACAGGCCUGAGGGAAGCACAGGCCUCGGCCUCCCAGCUCCCAACCCCUGCACCACCCACAGCCGGGAGUACCCCAUGGACAGCUGUGGCCGAGGAGAAGCCAGGGAUGAGGGGGAUGGGCCUCACCUCCCCACCAGCCUGGGAAGGGGGUGGGCCCCUGGCAAGUAGGAGGGAAGCUGAGGCUCAGAGACAUCAGGAGGAUGCCAGCUCAAGGUCCAGCCAGGCCUUGGUCCUCAGCUGCUGUCAUCCAGUAGGGUAAGUGGGACCCCCAGGAGGUGUUGGGGGACACUCCUCCCCUCCCCCACACUCACGGUCUGUUCACUGCCCAAGGCAGCAGGCUGGACUCGGUGCAGGGACCAUGGCUUGGCGUGGCCAGGUUGGAGUGGCCCCUGGGACUGAAAGCAGGGGGCGUGGGGGCUCUGAAGCGGGGCUGAGUGUGGGGAUGUCCUGUGGCGGGUACCCUGCUGGGUCCUGGGUGGGGGCCACCACCAGGCAGCUGUGGGAACAUUCCAGACCACCUAGGAGUAGGGCCCCUUCACCUUUUGAAGCUGACUGUAAAAAACAUCUGACCUGCGUGCAAAGCUCAAGCCCAGAGGCCUCCAGGGUGUCCAGCCUCCAGGGUGCCUCCUACGCAGCCUCCACGUCCCCAUCCACUGCAGCCGCUGACCAUCGGGCACACCGUGGGGCCUUCGCUGGCCGCCGGGCCUCAGGUUCUGCUGCACCAAGUGAUUUUUAAAGCCCCAUCUGCCUUUCUCCACUAAUAAAGAACUUGGGACAUUU